CCAUUCUUCCAUACCACCCUGAACGCGCCCGAUCUCGUCUGAUCUCGGAAGCUAAGCAGGGUCGGGCCUGGUUAGUACUUGGAUGGGAGAUUUUUUUUUUAACACGAGUAUGUAUGUG
rnacentral:rRNA from 1 species